rnacentral:rRNA from 1 species
UACGUAGGUGGCAAGCGUUGUUCGGAAUUAUUGGGCGUAAAGGGCGCGUAGGCGGUCUUGUAAGUCAGCUGUGAAAGCCCGGGGCUCAACCCCGGAGGGUCGGCUGAUACUGCAGGACUGGAGUACGGAAGAGGUAGCUGGAAUUCCCGGUGUAGCGGUGAAAUGCGUAGAUAUCAAGAGGAACACCAGUGGCGAAGGCGAGUCCCUGGACAAUUCCUGACACUGAGGCACGAAAGCCAAGGGAGCAAACAGG